rnacentral:rRNA from 1 species
GACGAACCGUGCAACCGUUAUUCGGAAUCACUGGGCUUAAAGGGCGCGUAGGCGGGCCGCCAGGUCCGGGGUGAAAGCCUCCAGCUCAACUGGAGAAGUGCCUUGGAUACCGGCGGCCUCGAGGGAGGUAGGGGCGUGCGGAACUUCGGGUGGAGCGGUGAAAUGCGUAGAUAUCCGAAGGAACACCGGUGGCGAAAGCGGCGCGCUGGAUCUCUUCUGACGCUGAGGCGCGAAAGCCAGGGGAGCAAACGGG